rnacentral:rRNA from 1 species
GACGAACGCUGGCGGCGUGCCUAAUACAUGCAAGUCGAACGCAGUGGGGACGGGUGAGUAACACGUGGGUAACCUCCCAUCAGAGGGGAUAACACUUGGAAACAGGUGCUAAACCGCUACUGAUGGAUGGACCCGCGGUGCAUGAGCUAGUUGGUGAGGUAACGGCUCACCAAGGCCACGAUGCAUACCGUGCCUGAGAGGGUGAUCGGCCAAACUGGGACUGAGACACGGCCCAGACUCCUACGGGAGGCAGCAGUAGGGAAUCUUCGGCAAUGGACGAAAGUCUGACCGGGCAACGCCGCGGUAGUGAAGAAGGUUUGCGGAUCGUAAAACUCUGUUGUGAGAGAAGCGGUAUCUAACCAGAAAGCCACGGCUAACUACGUGCCAGCAGCCGCGUAAUUC